rnacentral:tRNA from 1 species
GUAUUGGUGGUUCAGUGGUAGAAUUCUCGCCUGCCACGCGGGAGGCCCGGGUUCAGAUCCCUGCCCAUGCA